rnacentral:rRNA from 1 species
AUUGAACGCUGGCGGCAUGCUUUACACAUGCAAGUCGAACGGUAACAGGCCGCAAGGUGCUGACGAGUGGCGAACGGGUGAGUAAUGCAUCGGAACGUGCCCAGUCGUGGGGGAUAACUACUCGAAAGAGUAGCUAAUACAGCAUACGAUCUAUGGAUGAAAGCGGGGGACCGUAAGGCCUCGCGCGAUUGGAGCGGCCGAUGUCAGAUUAGGUAGUCGGUGGGGUAAAGGCUCACCAAGCCAACGAUCUGUAGCUGGUCUGAGAGGACGACCAGCCACACUGGGACUGAGACACGGCCCAGACUCCUACGGGAGGCAGCAGUGGGGAAUUUUGGACAAUGGGCGCAAGCCUGAUCCAGCAAUGCCGCGUGCAGGAAGAAGGCCUUCGGGUUGUAAACUGCUUUUGUACGGAACGAAACGGCUCUGGUUAAUACCCGGGGCUAAUGACGGUACCGUAAGAAUAAGCACCGGCUAACUACGUG